rnacentral:rRNA from 1 species
AACGAACGCUGGCGGCAUGCCUAACACAUGCAAGUCGAACGAAGCCUUCGGGCUUAGUGGCGCACGGGUGCGUAACGCGUGGGAAUCUGCCCUUAGGUUCGGAAUAACAGUUAGAAAUGACUGCUAAUACCGGAUGAUGACGAAAGUCCAAAGAUUUAUCGCCCAAGGAUGAGCCCGCGUAGGAUUAGGUAGUUGGUGGGGUAAAGGCUCACCAAGCCGACGAUCCUUAGCUGGUCUGAGAGGAUGAUCAGCCACACUGGGACUGAGACACGGCCCAGACUCCUACGGGAGGCAGCAGUGGGGAAUAUUGGACAAUGGGCGAAAGCCUGAUCCAGCAAUGCCGCGUGAGUGAUGAAGGCCUUAGGGUCGUAAAGCUCUUUUACCAGGGAUGAUAAUGACAGUACCUGGAGAAUAAGCUCCGGCUAACUCCGUGCCAGCCGCCGCGGUAA